UUGUUAUACCAAUCUUCAUACCCUUCUUAGUAAAGGUGACUAAUCUCAUUAGUAAAAAAACAAAUAAUACUUAAAUUAACGGAAGCCAUUAUUAAAGUGCUAUCUUCUUCAACAGUUUUCAUUUGCUCUGGAACCAGUAUGCCGUUCCCAUUUGGAUGGAGUUUGCUUCCUGGUCCCACAUGAACCACACUUACACUGAAUCCUAUGAAGAUUUGGAUAGUAAAUGCCUUCAACGUCCAUACAGACGACAACUAUUUUGUCAGGAAGUGUAA
rnacentral:lncRNA from 1 species